UCAAUCGACGACCACUGGUGACGGCGAAUGGAGGCCGCGACGAAUCGGUGUCGUCCCGAUAGGUCGGUUUUAUAUUGUAGAUGUAUUUUCCAAGAGUAAUUUUAACUGAAAGUAUAUGUUUUCAGCUGGAAUGGAUCUUUUCUGUAAUUUAUGCAAAUAAUAUUUACAUAGUACGAUGUUAAAAAUUCUAUUUGAUGUACACAUAGUACAUACACGUGCAAGAUAACACAUUAAGGUCAAUAACAUUUUUACUUAACCGUUUUAUGGUAAUUAGUUUGACAAUUCAUUUGUCAAUUUUGUAAGGCAUAUCCCUUGGGUAUAAUGUACAAUAUAAUACAUUAUAAAAGUUAGAUCUGUUCUAGAGAUUUCCAUUGUGUUUAUGACUAGAAUCUACUUACGAGUCUCCACUGUCUUACACUUGUAUCACAACAAUAUUGUCAUCCCUCUCACUCUCCUUGAAAACAACAGAGAUAGCAAUGCUGUCCUUUGUGUUACGACGGUUGAAAUUUACAGUCAUAGUGCAACAAGCAUAUCUGGCCCGGUAAGGGGCUCUGCUAUCGCGGUUAGUUCGGACAGAAAAUAUGUAAAAACUACAUACGCACGGUUCUUGUGACAUUUUUUUGACAUUACCAGGAUGGCGCUAUUGAACUAUAGUUAUUCAUGGCCACCGCGACAGAUAAGUUUGUCGGUUUAUAGUGUCACUUUGCCCAACAGGUCAGAUAACUUUGUCGGUUUAUAGUGUCACUUUACCCAACAGGUCAGAUAACUUUGUCGGUUUAUAGUGUCACUUUGCCCAACAGGUCAGAUAACUUUGUCGGUUUAUAGUGUCACUUUGCCCAACAGGUCAGAUAACUUUGUCGGUUUAUAGUGUCACUUUGCCCAACAGGUCAGAUAACUUUGUCGGUUUAUAGUGUCACUUUGCCCAACAGGUCAGAUAACUUUGUCGGUUUAUAGUGUCACUUUGCCCAACAGGUCAGAUAACUUUGUCGGUUUAUAGUGUCA